GAUGAUGAACGUAGCGAAAUGCGAUAAGUAGUGUGAAUUGCAGAAUUCAGUGAAUCAUCGAAUCUUUGAACGCACAUUGCGCCUUCUAGUAUUCUGGGAGGCAUGCCUGUUUGAGCGUCAUUAAACCUCUCUCAAGUAUGAUUACUUGGAUGUGAAGGAAGAGUACCUUAAACUUAAGGAGUGUUCUCCUUUGAAAUUGAUUAGCAGAUGGUAAUGUUAUUAAAUCCCUGAUGUUGUAAGAAAUAACAGUGGUUUUGUAGACUAUUAUCUAGCUUUAAAUUAUAAUUUUUAUUAUGGUUGACCUCAAAUCAGGUAAGGAUACCCGCUGAACUUAAGCAUAUCAAUAAGCGGAGGA
rnacentral:misc_RNA from 1 species